rnacentral:rRNA from 1 species
GACGAACGCUGGCGGCGUGCCUAAUACAUGCAAGUCGAACGCUGAAGAGAGGAGCUUGCUCUUCUUGGAUGAGUUGCGCACGGGUGAGUAACGCGUAUGUAACCUGCCUUGUAGCGGGGGAUCACUAUUGGAAACGAUAGCUAAUCCCGCAUAACAAUGGAUGACACAUGUCAUUUAUUUGAAAGGGGCAAUUGCUCCACUACAAGAUGGACCUGCGUUGUAUUAGCUAGUAGGUGAGGUAACGGCUCACCUAGGCGGCGAUACAGAGCCGACCUGAGAGGGUGAGCAGCCGCACUGGGACGGUGACACGGCCCAGACUCAUACGGGAGGCAGCAGUAGGGAAUCUUCGGCAAUGGGGGCAACCCUGACCGAGCAACGCCGCGUGAGUGAAGAAGGUUGUCGGGUCGUAAAGCUCUGUUGUAAGUCAAGAACGAGUGUGAGAGUGGAAAGUUGACACUGUGACGGUAGCUGACCAGAAAGGGACGGCUAACUACGUG